rnacentral:misc_RNA from 1 species
AAGUCGUAACAAGGUCUCCGUAGGUGAACCUGCGGAGGGAUCAUUACUGAGUGAGGGCCUUCUGGUCCGACCUCCAACCCCAUGUUAUCCGACACUGUUGCCUCCGGGGCGACCCGGCCUUCGGGCGUCGGGGCCCCGGGUGGACCAUCCAAACACUGCAUCUUUGCGUCUGAGUACACGAUUGAAUCAAUCAAAA